rnacentral:rRNA from 1 species
AUUGAACGCUGGCGGCAUGCCUUACACAUGCAAGUCGAACGGCAGCACGGGAGCAAUCCUGGUGGCGAGUGGCGAACGGUGAGUAAUGUAUCGGAACGUACCUUUCAGUGGGGGAUAACGUAGCGAAAGUUACGCUAAUACCGCAUAUUCUGUGAGCAGGAAAGCAGGGGAUCGCAAGACCUUGCGCUGAUUGAGCGGCCGAUAUCAGAUUAGCUAGUUGGUGAGGUAAAGGCUCACCAAGGCGACGAUCUGUAGCGGGUCUGAGAGGAUGAUCCGCCACACUGGAACUGAGACACGGUCCAGACUCCUACGGGAGGCAGCAGUGGGGAAUUUUGGACAAUGGGCGCAAGCCUGAUCCAGCCAUGCCGCGUGAGUGAAGAAGGCCUUCGGGUUGUAAAGCUCUUUCAGCCGGGAAGAAAACGCAUGGGUUAAUACCCUGUGUGGAUGACGGUACCGGAAUAAGAAGCACCGGCUAACUACGUG